CGUUCAGGUUCGAGCCGAGCGAAGCGAGACAGCAACGCGCAGCGUUGACCCGAAGGGCGAGUCCGGAGGACGAGUCAUCCCGCACAACCCACUA
rnacentral:sRNA from 1 species